AGAAUAUCCUAAUUUGGAAGGGACCCACAAGGAUCACUGAGUCCACCUCCUGGCUCCAUGCAGGAUAUCUCUCUUUUGGAUGCUCUCUAAUAGUUUUAUGUCGUGUAGUGUGGUGCUCAAAACUGCUACAGUUCUUGAGGUGAGGCUGCACCAGUGCAAAGCAGAGUGGGAGUGAAAAUGGAAGGCUUUUGUGUAUUAGAACUGAGUAUCAGUGAAAGAGUUACAUCGAAUGAAUGUACGGCAUGAAUGUAAACAAGAUAAACAAGGACUUAAUAUGCAAAUUCAUGAGAGAAGAAAAGAGAAGAACCUGAGGCAUAGUGUUUGUGCUCCUCUGUACGCUCAGCUGAGGGCUUAAAUCUUCAGCAGUGCCUGCGCUCUACAUAUGAAUGGUUAUUAAUAGUGAAAAUGAUGUGAAGAACUACUGAAAGCUGAAUGUAGGAUGAUCCAUGAGCAGAGAGAAACUGGAUGUCAGAAGAACAUAGAGCAUAUGUGGUAAAGAAUAAUGAAUAAAGAAUAAUGAUGGAAGUGAAAGAAAAGAUGAGCAAGCAUGCUUAGAAGUGUCAGAGUUCUGUAAUGACAAAGUUUUUUCUCUGUGGUUGGAAAAUAGGAAGGUUUUGGCCAAACUCUGUUGACAGGGACUUCUCCUGAGGAUGAUCAAAAUGUCUAAAACUUCAUAUUUCUCCUUUAUGCUAAUAUUUGUUAUCUGUGGCAGAGAGCAUAAAAGCCCCAGAAGAUGUAGAAAAACAAUACAAAUGUGAACUGCUGACUCUCUGCAGCUGCCUGGGGCUGACAUUUGGUUAAUAAAAGUUGUCUAGGUUGAGGGAAACACAAAACAUAAAUAGCAUGAGAGUCAAAAUAGAAUAAUAAUUGUAAAAUCAGUCUAUUUUUACUAAACCAUCUGUAAGUUGUUCUUCUUAAGGGGAUUAUUGCUCUUUUAACCUGGAAAUAACUUAAGUAUACUAAUUCACAGCAUCAUUACAAGAUAUUUACAGACAGGAUGCAGUUUCAUGUUCACAACAAGUUACAUACUUAUGAAUUUUAAUUCUGUGCUGGUUAUCAUUCAUUCUUUCGUUAUCCAGCUGUGAGAUCAGAACAUACCAUAUAGGGUAGCUGAAGCACUUCUACAGUUUGACUUACACAAGAUGAAAAAUUUGUGGUAAAUAAGAAAUUAGUGACAUUCUGAAGACUUGCAGAAGAAACAAAAUGAUCAAUUUCUUCAUACAACUGAAGAGCAUCUGUGGAGUGAGGCUGGAGGGAAGUGUAAGUGUUCCACUUAAAAUAGCAGCUGGUUUCACAUCACUAACUGACAAAUCUGAAAUUGUGAUUCACUGGCUAGAAAACUUUGGCAUUCUAAACCUGCUAUUAACCUUCUGCAGAGGGCAAUUGAGGAAAAAAAAAAAAAAAAACAAAACCACAGGCAGAAACAAUUCAAGUGCUAGAAGCACCACCAUCUUCAGAAGAAAUCAAAAAGCCGUACAUCAGCUCAUGUCACUGCUCACCAGACCAUGAAGGCAUUCCCUCUUGCUCCUUCUAAUUAUUGUGCUGCAGCAUUUAUUCAUGGGCAUAAACUGUGAUUUGUAUCCAUUUGGGAAUAUGAGACCACACCAGUUGAUUAUAGUGGUACAAUUACUGUUCUGCUAUACAAGGGUGACAUGUCAGACUGAAAAUUGCCAAUGCUGUCUUUUAUCUAUUUCUAAUAAAAUGCUAGCAAAACCCCUGCCAUUCAGAUUGUAGAAUAUAUGUUAGGCCUGUUUCUGCCCAGGAGUCAAUGUAUUUACCUGAGGUAUCCAGAUAUAAUCUUAUUUUGUAAAACAAUGUCAUGCAAAGAAACACAAACAAUAUCAACUGAAAUAAAGGAGCUCUUGUAGUCUUGAAGGAAGAAUAUUGCAGUAGAUAGUCAGAAAACAGGAGAGAUCAUGCAAAAGUCAUAUUAUCCAUUUAUUACCUCAGCAAUAUCUCUAAGAGACAUCUGCUCCAGUAUUCUUUCCGGUCACUUCAGAACACCGAGGUCUUUGUUGAAAUUGGAGAGCAACUGUUGCCUUUCACAAGUUUAAUAAAAUUUUAUGGAUUUUU
ensembl:lncRNA